rnacentral:rRNA from 1 species
UACGUAGGGGGCAAGCGUUGUCCGGAAUCAUUGGGCGUAAAGCGCGUGUAGGCGGCCUUGUAAGUCUGUUCUGAAAGUCCGGGGCUCAACCCCGGGAGGCGGAUGGAUACUGCAAGGCUCGAGUACGGAAGAGGCGAGUGGAAUUCCCGGUGUAGCGGUGAAAUGCGCAGAUAUCGGGAGGAACACCAAUGGCGAAGGCAGCUCGCUGGGACGUUACUGACGCUGAGACGCGAAAGCGUGGGGAGCAAACAGG